rnacentral:misc_RNA from 1 species
AAAAUUGAAUUUUUUUUUUCCUACCCGUUGCAUAUUUCAAGAACUGAAAACGGGAAGAAUGAUUAGUAAUGGUGGAAUGCAAGAUGGCUUGUAUUUGUUGGAUGACAGUGUUGGUUUAUCAAAGCCUAAAGCUUUGCUAGUAAAUUGAAUAGGAGCUGAUCAGGAGAUCACUCAGUGGCAUAAAAGAUUAGAACAUCAUUCAUUUUCAACCUUAGAAAGGUUAUAUUCCAUUUUGUUUAGACAAUGCAAAUCAAAAUCAUUAGUUUGUGAUGCUUGUGAACUUGUUAAAUACACAAGGAAUUCUUAUCCUUCAAUAAAUAA